rnacentral:rRNA from 1 species
UACAGAGGUGGCAAGCGUUGUUCGGAAUUAUUGGGCGUAAAGAGCGUGUAGGCGGUUUGGUAGGUCCGCUGUGAAAACUCGAGGCUCAACCUCGAGACGCCGGUGGAAACCAUCAGGCUAGAGUCCGGAAGAGGAGAGUGGAAUUCCUGGUGUAGCGGUGAAAUGCGCAGAUAUCAGGAAGAACACCCGUGGCUAAGGCGGCUCUCUAGUACGGUACUGACGCUGAGACGCGAAAGCGUGGGGAGCGAACAGG